rnacentral:rRNA from 1 species
CAGUAGCCACGGGAAUACGGAGGGUGCAAGCGUUAAUCGGAAUUACUGGGCGUAAAGCGCACGCAGGCGGUCUGUCAAGUCAGAUGUGAAAUCCCCGGGCUUAACCUGGGAACUGCAUUUGAAACUGGCAGGCUAGAGUCUUGUAGAGGGGGGUAGAAUUCCAGGUGUAGCGGUGAAAUGCGUAGAGAUCUGGAGGAAUACCGGUGGCGAAGGCGGCCCCCUGGACAAAGACUGACGCUCAGGUGCGAAAGCGUGGGGAGCAAACAGGAUUAGAUACCCCUGUAGUCCCUGUCUCUUAUAA